AUUGAACGCUGGCGGCAUGCUUUACACAUGCAAGUCGAACGGCAGCGCGGGCUUCGGCCUGGCGGCGAGUGGCGAACGGGUGAGUAAUGCAUCGGAACGUGCCCAGUAGUGGGGGAUAGCCCGGCGAAAGCCGGAUUAAUACCGCAUACGACCUGAGGGUGAAAGCGGGGGACCGAAAGGCCUCGCGCUAUUGGAGCGGCCGAUGUCGGAUUAGCUAGUUGGUGGGGUAAAGGCUUACCAAGGCGACGAUCCGUAGCUGGUCUGAGAGGACGACCAGCCACACUGGGACUGAGACACGGCCCAGACUCCUACGGGAGGCAGCAGUGGGGAAUUUUGGACAAUGGGGGCAACCCUGAUCCAGCCAUGCCGCGUGCGGGAAGAAGGCCUUCGGGUUGUAAACCGCUUUUGUUCGGGAAGAAAUCCUCUGGGCUAAUACCCCGGGGGGAAGACGGUACCGGAAGAAUAAGCACCGGCUAACUACGUG
rnacentral:rRNA from 1 species